AGAGUUUGAUCAUGGCUCAGGAUGAAUGCUGGCGGCGUGCCUAACACAUGCAAGUCGAGCGGCAGCGAGGGGUGCUUGCACCCUGUCGGCGAGCGGCGAACGGCUGAGUAACGCGUAGGAAUUUGCCCCAAAGUGAGGAAUAACUGCCCGAAAGGGUAGCUAAUGCCGCAUAUGGUCUUCGGAUUAAAGGAUUUAUCCGCUUUGGGAGAAGCCUGCGUUGGAUUAGGUUGUUGGUAGGGUAAUGGCCUACCAAGCCGACGAUCCAUAGCUGGUCUGAGAGGAUGAUCAGCCAGACUGGAACUGAGACACGGUCCAGACUCCUACGGGAGGCAGCAGUGAGGAAUCUUCCACAAUGGGCGAAAGCCUGAUGGAGCAACGCCGCGUGAAGGAUGAAGGCCUUCGGGUUGUAAACUUCUUUUAUGAGUGAAGAAUAUGACGGUAACUCAUGAAUAAGCACCGGCUAACUACGUGCCAGCAGCCGCGGUCAUACGUAGGGUGCAAGCAUUAUCCGGAGUGACUGGGCGUAAAGAGUUGCGUAGGCGGUUUAAUAAGUGAAUAGUGAAACCUGGUGGCUCAACCAUACAGACUAUUAUUCAAACUGUUAAACUCGAGAAUGGUAGAGGUAACUGGAAUUUCUUGUGUAGGAGUGAAAUCCGUAGAUAUAGGAAGGAACACCAAUGGCGUAGGCAGGUUACUGGGCCAUUUCUGACGCUAAGGCACGAAAGCGUGGGGAGCGAACCGGAUUAGAUACCCCGGUAGUCCAA
rnacentral:rRNA from 1 species